rnacentral:lncRNA from 1 species
UUGACUCCAGGGCUCCCAGUGUUACCCUCCCACAGUAACUGGGCAAAAGAUAGCACUGGACAGGGAACAGGCUAGAAAGUGAUUCCCUGAGAUGUUUAAACUCAGGUCAGGGAAGACAUAUGCCCCAUCAUCCACAAUAAGAAGCCAGGACUGGCUUGAGUUGCACUCAGAUCAAGCCACCUCUGAAAAAGUCCCAUCUAUGUCCACAUGAAGCUUUGGGGGACCAUCUAAACACAAGCCAUAACAGCCCACAAAAACUCACUGUCACAAAUAGAUCAAUUAGAUGAAAAAUCAACAAAGCAGUAUCAGAGUUGAACAAAACCUUCAAACAAAUGGACUUAAUAGGUGUCUACAAAAUAUUCUGCCCAAUGACAACAGAAUACACAUUCUUCUCAGCACCACAUGAGAGUUUCUCCAAAAUAGAUGCUAGCUCAUAAAGCAUGCUUAAGUAAAUGAAAAAGAAUUGAAAUUAUCCAUCCAUAUUAUAGUGUAAUGAAACUAGAAAUCAAUGGCUAAAGAAACUACAAAAAUUAUGCAAACACGUGGAAACUAAACAACAUACUCGACUAAUCAAUGGGUCAUGGAAGAAAGCAAGGAAGAAAUGAGGCAGUUCCUAGAAUCAAAAGAUAAUACCAGUAAAACAUACUAGAACCUAUCAGAUACAAUGAAAGUAGUCCUAAAAGGAAGUUUAUAGCUUUGAAUGACCACAUCAGAAAAAUAGAGCAAGCUCAAAUAAUUUUAUGAUGCACUGGAACAUUCUAGAAAAACAAGAACAAUCCAAAUCCAAUGCUAGUAGAAGGAAGGAAAUUAUAAAGAUCAGAGCAGAAAUUAAUAAAAUUGAGACUUACAAAAAUACAGUGAGUUCAAAGAGCUGGUUCAUUGAAAGAAUAAAGUAGACAUAUCCCUAAUCCAGUCAUGGUGAACCUUUUAGAGACUGAGCACCUGAACUGCAACCCAAAACCCACUUAUUUAUUGCAAAGUGCCAAUACUGCAAUCAAACAGAAAUAACGGAGGUUAUAGUUUAGAAAUAACUCAUGCAUUAACAUCUUUUGUCUUAAAACACAAUAACAGAGCUUUCAACCAUACAAACAGCUUUUUAUUGAAAGGUAAAAGUUUGCAUUUGGGAUGUUUUUGCACAAUUAAUGUGAUCUUUGCUGUCGUAUGCAUGCUGAUAAUUUGUCAAACCUUAGCUUAUACUUCAUUAGUUUGAGAACAACACAUGCUGCACUCAGGUCAUCUGUUAGUCUGUUUCUUGUAUCAGAUUUAACAUACUGUAAUUCAAAGCUAAAAACAGCUGCUCACAAGAUGAUCCAAACACAGUAAGAAAAGCAAUCCCAACUGCUUUGCAUUCUUUGACUUAAAAUUAUUUAUCAGAGAAGUCCACACUUUAAGAAUUUCAUUUUCAGGGCCAGGGAUUUAGCUCAGUGGUUUGGCC